UUCUAUUUAAAACCUUCAAUGAUUUCACAUUGCCUACAACUCACAAUUCACCUGGAUAUUCUAACACCAAUUUACUUCUCUGACUUCACUUUCUACCCCUCCACUCCACGCACGAUUUGAUUCAGUUGCACCAACCUUCUCAUCACUCAGAGCUCUCUAAUCCCUGUGAACACUCUACACCUUACGCAUACUGUUCCUACUCACUUCCUGGAAAGGUCUUCUCCCACUUCUCUUGGUAAAACUCCUACUCAUCUCCAAGAACCAGCUCAAAUGGCACAUCUUUU
rnacentral:lncRNA from 10 species